GGAAAAAGUGGGGUUCCCUAAAGUUAGAUUUCUGAAAAUAGCUGCCUUGGAUAUUGUCAAGUGGACUGCCUACGAGGGCGUGGACUGUUUUCCAAGUCUACAGAAACUAGCAUUGAAAAGCUGUCGCUCUUUAAAGGAGAUCCCUUCUUGUUUGGGGAGUUCGACUCUUGAAAUUAUUGAGGUGUCUCAUUGUCCCUUCUCUGCAAGAUUUAUAGAGCCACUUCAGGAAGAACAAAUGGACUUGGGAAAUACUGAUCUGAAGAUCCUUAUUUCAUAAGGUUUUCUUUUCCCUUGGAGCAAAAUUUCAGCAAUCGAAAAUCUACCCAAUCUGGAGGUUCUCAAAUUACUUAGUCAAGCCUUCAAGGGGGAAAUAUGGAAUGUGGAAGAAGAGGGGUUCCCUAAAGUCAGAAUCUUGAAAUUAGCUUUCAUGGAUAUUGUCAAGUGGACAGCCUCCGAAUGCUUGGACUGUUUUCCUAGUAUUGGAAGACUGUCUCUUUUUGGAGGAGAUCCCUUCUAGUUUGGGGAGUUCAACUCUUGAAAUAAUUGAGGCCUCUGAUUGUCCCUUCUCUGCAAGUUUUAUACAGCCACUUCAGGAGGAACAAAUGGACAUGGGAAACACUGAUCUGAAAAUCCACAUGUCAUCCCAUGAAAUGGAUUACUGAUCUUCUCACGUACGUUUGGUUUGGUCAGUCAAUUCACUCAUUUUACAUUUUCUAUUAAUUUUCUAGUUUUGUACUAUUACUGGUACUGUUGCAUUAGUCUACCAUCAAGAUCAUGCUAUUCUUGUUGUUUUAAUACGCUUUAUCCUGUCUCAAACUGUGUGGUGCGGACAGCUCCCAGGAUUAUUGUUGUUUCUAAAGAUUUAAAUGAAGCAACCUUUUUUU